CACGCAGGCGGUCUGUCAAGUCGGAUGUGAAAUCCCCGGGCUCAACCUGGGAACUGCAUUCGAAACUGGCAGGCUAGAGUCUUGUAGAGGGGGGUAGAAUUCCAGGUGUAGCGGUGAAAUGCGUAGAGAUCUGGAGGAAUACCGGUGGCGAAGGCGGCCCCCUGGACAAAGACUGACGCUCAGGUGCGAAAGCGUGGGAGCAAACA
rnacentral:rRNA from 1 species